CAGCCGCCGCGGGAAUACGAAGGGGGCUAGCGUUGUUCGGAAUUACUGGGCGUAAAGCGCACGUAGGCGGACUUUUAAGUCAGGGGUGAAAUCCCGGGGCUCAACCUCGGAACUGCCUUUGAUACUGGAAGUCUUGAGUAUGGAAGAGGUAAGUGGAAUUGCGAGUGUAGAGGUGAAAUUCGUAGAUAUUCGCAGGAACACCAGUGGCGAAGGCGGCUUACUGGUCCAUUACUGACGCUGAGGUGCGAAAGCGUGGGGAGCAAACAGGAUUAGAUACCCCUGUAGUCCCUGUCUCUUAUAC
rnacentral:rRNA from 1 species